rnacentral:tRNA from 1 species
CGGGCUGUGGCGCAGCUUGGUAGCGCGCGUCGUUCGGGACGACGAGGCCGCAGGUUCAAAUCCUGUCAGCCCGACCC